CAGCUUGCUGGGUGGAUCAGUGGCGAACGGGUGAGUAACACGUGAGCAACCUGCCCUCCACUUCGGGAUAAGCCUUGGAAACGGGGUCUAAUACCGGAUAUGAGCACAUGGCGCAUGUCGUGUGUUGGAAAGUUUUUCGGUGGGGGAUGGGCUCGCGGCCUAUCAGCUUGUUGGUGGGGUGAUGGCCUACCAAGGCGUCGACGGGUAGCCGGCCUGAGAGGGCGACCGGCCACACUGGGACUGAGACACGGCCCAGACUCCUACGGGAGGCAGCAGUGGGGAAUAUUGCACAAUGGGCGAAAGCCUGAUGCAGCGACGCCGCGUGAGGGAUGACGGCCUUCGGGUUGUAAACCUCUUUCAGCAGGGAAGAAGGCCUUCGGGUGGACGGUACCUGCAGAAGAAGCGCCGGCUAACUACGUGCCAGCAGCCGCGGUAAUACGUAGGGCGCAAGCGUUGUCCGGAAUUAUUGGGCGUAAAGAGCUCGUAGGCGGUCUGUCGCGUCUGGUGUGAAAACCUCAGGCUCAACCUGGGGCGUGCAUCGGGUACGGGCAGACUAGAGUGCGGUAGGGGAGACUGGAAUUCCUGGUGUAGCGGUGGAAUGCGCAGAUAUCAGGAGGAACACCGAUGGCGAAGGCAGGUCUCUGGGCCGCAACUGACGCUGAGGAGCGAAAGCAUGGGGAGCGAACAGGAUUAGAUACCCUGGUAGUCCAUGCCGUAAACGUUGGGCACUAGGUGUGGGGCUCAUUCCACGAGUUCCGUGCCGCAGCUAACGCAUUAAGUGCCCCGCCUGGGGAGUACGGCCGCAAGGCUAAAACUCAAAGGAAUUGACGGGGGGCCCGCACAAGCGGCGGAGCAUGCGGAUUAAUUCGAUGCAACGCGAAGAACCUUACCAAAGGCUUUGACAUGCACCGGACGCUGCCAGAAGAUGUGGUCGCAAGGUCGGUUGCACAAGUGGGUUGCAUGGGUUGUCCGUUCCAA
rnacentral:rRNA from 1 species